rnacentral:misc_RNA from 1 species
AACGCAUAUUGCGCCCUCUGGUAUUCCGGAGGGCAUGCCUGUCCGAGCGUCAUUACUACCUUCAAGCACGGCUUGUGUGUUGAGCAUCUGUUCUUUUCAUGGACAGGCUUGAAAUGCAGUGGGGAUGGCGAGUUUGGAGCCCGAGCGUAUGGAGCUUUGUCACGCGCUGUGAUGGCCCCGGCUCACUAUCUCCUUUAAAAUUACACAAAUCUGAUUGACCUCGGAUCAGGCAGGGAUACCCGCUGAACUUAA